UCAAGUUAUUAAGGGUGCAGGGCGGAUGCCUUGGCACUAGGAGCCGAUGAAGGACGUGAUAAGCUGCGAUAAGCUUCGGGGAGUUGCACGUAAACUUUGAUCCGAAGAUUUCCGAAUGAGGAAACUCACUUAGAGUAAUGUCUAAGUAUCAUUAAGUGAAUACAUAGCUUAAUGAGGGGAACUCAGGGAACUGAAACAUCUAAGUACCUGAAGGAAGAGAAAGAAAUUCGAUUCCGUAAGUAGCGGCGAGCGAACGCGGAUUAGCCCAAACCAAUAAAGUUUUCUUUAUUGGGGUUGCGGACAUAUCAUAACGAAGAGGUAUCGUAAUUGAAGAGGUUUGGAAAGACCCACCACAGAAGGUAAUAGUCCUGUAUGUUAAACGAGAAGACUUUAGAUAUGAUCCAGAGUACCACGGGACACGUGAAACCCUGUGGGAAGCAGGAGGGACCACCCUCCAAGGCUAAAUACUACCUAGUGACCGAUAGCGUAUAGUACCGUGAGGGAAAGGUGAAAAGAACCCCGGGAGGGGAGUGAAAUAGAACCUGAAACCCUGCACUUACAAGCUGUGGAAGCACAUUUCUUGUGUGACCGCGUACUUUUUGUAGAACGGGCCAACGAGUUACGUUAAGUAGCAAGGUUAAGCACUUAAGGUGUGGAGCCGUAGCGAAAGCGAGUUUUAACUGAGCGUUCAGUUACUUGACGUAGACCCGAAACCGGGCGACCUACCCAUGAGCAGGAUGAAGCGAAAGUAAAAUUUCGUGGAGGUCCGAACCCACGAGCGUUGAAAAGCUCGGGGAUGACUUGUGGGUAGCGGUGAAAUUCCAAUCGAGCCCGGAGAUAGCUGGUUCUCCCCGAAAUAGCUUUAGGGCUAGCCUCAAGGUGAGAGAUACGGAGGUAGAGCACUGAAUGUCCUAGGGGGUAUUGCACCUACCGAAGACUAUCAAACUCCGAAUGCCGUCAUCUUAUACUUGGGAGUCAGACUGUGGGUGAUAAGAUUCAUAGUCGAAAGGGCAACAGCCCAGAUCGUCAGCUAAGGUCCCUAAAUGUAAGUUAAGUGGUAAAGGAUGUGGGAUUGCACAGACAACCAGGAUGUUGGCUUAGAAGCAGCCACUCAUUCAAAGAGUGCGUAAUAGCUCACUGGUCGAGUGAUCCUGCGCCGAAGAUUUCCGGGGCUAAAACUUACUACCGAAGCUACGGCAUCAGUAAUGAUGGGUAGGGGAGCUUCCCAUACGGGUUGAAGCAUGACCGUAAGGACAUGUGGACAGUAUGGGAGUGAGAAUGUUGGCAUGAGUAGCGAGAUGUGGGUGAGAAUCCCACAGGCCGUAAACCCAAGGUUUCCAGGGGAAGGUUCGUCCGCCCUGGGUUAGUCGGGACCUAAGCUGAGGCCGAAAGGCGUAGGUGAUGGACAACAGGUUGAUAUUCCUGUACUACCGAUAACCGUUUGAGAGAGGGGAUGACACAGUAGGAUAAGCUAAGCACACUGUUGGUUAUGUGUGCCCAAGCAUUGAGGCAGUCAAAGUAGGCAAAUCCGCUUUGAUAAUGCUGGGAUGUGAUGGGGAGCGAAAUUUAGUAGCGAAGUAGCUGAUUUCACACUGUCAAGAAAAGUCUCUAUCGAGGUUAAAGGUACCCGUACCGCAAACCGACACAGGUGGGUGAGGAGAGUAUCCUAAGGCCAGCGAGAGAACUGUUGUUAAGGAACUCGGCAAAAUGACCCCGUAACUUAGGGAUAAGGGGUGCCACCAUCAGGUGGCCGCAGAGAAUAGGCCCAAGCGACUGUUUACCAAAAACAUAGGUUUCUGCUAAGUCGCAAGACGAUGUAUAGGAGCUGACGCCUGCCCGGUGCUGGAAGGUUAAGGGGAUCUGUUAGAGCAAUCGAAGCAGUGAACUUAAGCCCCAGUAAACGGCGGCCGUAACUAUAACGGUCCUAAGGUAGCGAAAUUCCUUGUCGGGUAAGUUCCGACCCGCACGAAAGGCGUAACGAUUUGGGCACUGUCUCAACAACAGACUCGGUGAAAUUGUAAUUCCGGUGAAGAUGCCGGAUACCUGCGACAGGACGGAAAGACCCCAUGGAGCUUUACUGUAGCUUGACAUUGGGUCUUGGUACUACAUGUACAGGAUAGGUGGGAGGCUUUGAAACCAGGACGCCAGUUUUGGCGGAGCCAUCCUUGGGAUACCACCCUUGUAGUACUGGGACUCUAACCAUAGGCCAUGAAUCUGGUCUUGGGACACUGUCAGGUGGGCAGUUUGACUGGGGCGGUCGCCUCCCAAAAGGUAACGGAGGCGCUCAAAGGUUCUCUCAGUACGGUCGGAAAUCGUACGUAGAGUGUAAAGGCAAAAGAGAGCUUGAUUGCAAGACAUACAGGUCGAGCAAGGAUGAAAAUCGGACUUAGUGAUCCGGUGGUUCUGCGUGGAAGGGCCAUCGCUCAACGGAUAAAAGCUACCCUGGGGAUAACAGGCUUAUCUCCCCCAAGAGUCCACAUCGACGGGGAGGUUUGGCACCUCGAUGUCGGCUCAUCACAUCCUGGGGCUGUAGUAGGUCCCAAGGGUUGGGCUGUUCGCCCAUUAAAGUGGUACGCGAGCUGGGUUCAGAACGUCGUGAGACAGUUCGGUCCCUAUCCGUCGCAGGCGUAGGAAAUUUGAGAAGACCUGUCCUUAGUACGAGAGGACCGGGAUGGACGUACCUCUGGUGUACCAGUUGUCCUGCCAAGGGCAUGGCUGGGUAGCUAUGUACGGAAUGGAUAAGCGCUGAAAGCAUCUAAGCGCGAAGCCAACUUCAAGAUAAGAUUUCCCACCGCAAGGGUAAGACCCCAGAAAGACUAUCUGGUUGAUAGGUCGAAGGUGUAAGUGCAGCAAUGUAUUUAGCUUAUCGAUACUAAUAGGUCGAGGACUUGACCAA
rnacentral:rRNA from 1 species